rnacentral:lncRNA from 1 species
GUCAGCAGGCGACGCUGGGAGGCUGGGGUAGGCCCAGAGCGAGGACGGGCCCGGACUGGGUAGUGGGGAUGUACCAGGGCCGGGUGCGGCGGGAGACGGCCCGGGAGGCGGAAGGUCGCGGACCUGCCCGACAGAAGAGUAGAUGAGGGGAGACCGAGGACGCCCGGGUCCGGGGAGCUUACGAGGAGGCCAGGAUCGCGGGGUCUUAAGAUAUGAAGACAAUGGGAUAACUGAGGCUGAUUUUGCUGUGUGGCCAUUAGACCUAGAAAUAUUGGUGUGAUUCUGGAGUUGAUUGCUCCACACGUUUAUUUAUUUAUUUUCCUUUUUUUCCCUCCUCUUCCUCCUCCUCUAUUCUUUAAAAACGUAUGGAAAUGUAUCCGGCAAUGUUUACUGUAAAAAAUAAUGUAUGGAAAUGACUACAAUUUGCUAAAAUAAAAAUCAUUGAGCACUUAUGUGUGUCAGACACUAUGCUAGGUAUAAAGAGGGGAAGAUGGUGUCCCUAUUCAAAAGAGAGUCACACACACUUAAGUUACAGUGCAGUCAUAAAUACCAUGAUCGCAGUAUGCACAGGUCCAUUUUCUCUAUCUGGGUGAUGGGAAGGUUCAAAACUAAGCUAGGUUUUGAAUGAGGAAUAGUUUCAUUUUGAAGCACAUCCAUUUUGCGAUGCCUCUGGAGCUAUCUAGUGAACAAUUUAGAUGCGUGGUUCAGAAGCUCGAUGGGAGGCUUGGGAACACAGAAUGUGUAAAAUAAGCAUCAGUCUCCCUUUCACCCUCUCUGCACUUUUUAAGGGUCAUCUGUCUUUAGUAUAUAUUGGUAAGAGAUUUUAUGGAGGAUACCAAUUCUUUUUUUUUUUUUUUGAGACAGAGUCUCACAUUGUCACCCAGGGUGGAGUGCAGUUGCACGAUCUCUGCUCACUGCAACCUCCGCCUCCCGGGUUCAAGCGAUUCUCCUGCCUCAGCCUCCCAAGUAGCUGGGAUUACAGGUGCCCACCACCAGGCCCAGCUAAUUUUCGUAUUUUUAGUAGAGACGGGGUUUCACUAUGUUGGCCAGGCUGGUCUUGAACUCCUGACCUCGUGAUUCACCCACCUCGGUCUCCCAAAGUGCCGGGAUUACAGGUGUGAGCCACCGUGGCCUGCCAGCAUACCAAUUCUUAUGAGAGAAUGUCAGGGGUAGAAGAGAUCCAAGGAAAUGGUUGACCAGGUAAAAAACUGAUAAAGGUCAAAUAGAAAUAAGCCUGAGAAUUGCCCCAUCAGAUUUGGUUUAGUGUUUAGUAGGUAUAGUUAUAGUGCCAGAUAUAUAAUAACUGAGUUCCUUUUGAAAGCAUAUAGUAAAAUCAAAUCUGAUUAGCCUAAGUAACAGAGGUGAUUUAUUGUAAUGAUUCUGGGGUAUCUGACAGAUUGUAGAUAUUCUCUCUAGGGUGCUCCUAUCCAAUAUAAAUUUCUGUAAUGAUGAAAAUGUUCUAUGUCUGCUGUGUCUUAAUAUGGUAACCAUUAGCCAAAAGUGCUACUGAGCAUAUGAAAUGUAGCUAGUGCAACUGAGACCCUGUAAACUAAGAUUCCAGUCAAAGAGAAGGGAAAAAACAGUGAGCUUUGCCCACAGUCUUUAAGACCUGUGCCCAGAAAUAGUACAUAAUAUUUCUGCUUACAUUCCACUGGAAAUAACUUAGUCACAUGAUCACACCUAACUGCAAGGAAGCCUGGGAAAUGUAGAUUAGCAGUGUACCCAGAAAGACUGAGAAAAUGGUUUUGGUGAACAACUAGCAGUGGUCAGAAUACAAAAAGUAAUAAUACAGAUUUCCUGCUUUCAAGAAUAUCACAGGUUUAGUGGGAGACAGAUGAGUAUUUUACUAGCAAUGAAUAAAGAACAUGCUAUACAAACCCAAAGAAAACAGUAGAUAUAGCCUGGAUAUUUGUUCCUACCUAAAUCUCAUGUUGAAUUGUAAUUCCCAGUGUUGGAUGUGGGGCCUGGUGGGAGGUGAUUGGAUCAUGAGGGUGAAUUUCUUGUGAAUGGUUUAGCACAAUUCCUUGGUGCUGUCCUCAUGAUGGUGAGUGAGUUCUCAUGAGAUCCGGUUGUUUAAAAGUGUGUGGCACCUUGGGAGGCUGAGGCAUGAGAAUCGUUUGAAUCUGGGAGGCAGAGGCUGCAAUGAGCUGAGAUCAUGCCACUGCACUCCAGCCUGUGUGACAAAGCAAGACUCUCUUUUAAAAAAAAGUGGCACCUCCCCCCUGCCUGUGUUCCUGCUUUUGCCAUGUGACUUACGCGCUCCCACUUUGCCUUCCGUCGUGAGUAAAAGCUUCCUGAGGCCCCCGCCAGAAGCAGAUAUCAGUGCUAUGCUUCCUAUACAUCCUGUAGAACCAUGAGACACGUAAACUUAUUUUCCUGUAAAUUACCCAGUCUCUGGUAUUUCUUUAUAACAAUGUAAGAACAGCCUAAUACAAUGGUAUUUCUCAAAUCUUAAUGUACGUAUGGAUCACCUGGGAAUCUUGUUAAAAUAUACAUUCUGGGCCGGGCAUGGUGGCUCACACCUGUAAUCCCAGCACUUUGGGAGGCUGAGGUGGAUGGAUCACUUGAGGUCAGGAGUUCGAGACCAGCCUGGAUGACAUGGUGAAACCCCAUCUCUACUCAAAAUACAAAAAUUAGCUGAGUGUGGUGGCACACACCUGUAAUUCCAACUGAUCGUCUCAUUGAUGCAGAGGUUCGGCAGGUUUCCUACAAGUUUGAUUGGGCAGGACCCUUGUUCAAUUUUUCUUUAAUUCUCUUCACUCUGCCCUUUGUCUUCAGGCUGGCUUCCUUUGUGGUAAGUGAGAUGAUGGCAAAUUUACACAUCUUACAAAGAAAAUAUAGUUUUGUUUUUUUUUUCUAAAAUUGAACAUCCUUUAUGAGCCUCUACCCCAGUAUAUAGAAGGGAAAGUCUUUAUGUUGACAAAUAAUGGUACUUCCUUUUUUUUUUUUUUUUUUUUGGUACCUAAGUCUCUUUCUUAUCAAUGUUCUAUCUUGCAGAUUUUCUUUCUCUCAUUCUAAUCAACCUACAAAGUGGAUCAAUGGUGAUAGUGGGCUGGGCGCAGUGGCUCACACCUGUAAUCCCAGCACUUUGGGAGGCCGAGGUGGGCAGAUUACUUGAGGUCAGGAGUUUGAGACCAGCCUGGCCAAUAUGAUGAAACCCCCAUCUCUACUAAAAAUACAAAAAUUAGCCAGGCGUGGUGGCACACACCUGUAAUCCCAUCUACUCAGGAGGCUGAGACAGGAGAAUCGCUUGAACCCAGGAGGUGGAGGUUGCAGUGAGCCGAGAUAGUGCUACUACACUCCAGCCUGGGAAACAGAGCAAGACUCCGUCUCAAAGAAAAAAAAAAUUAGCCGGACAUAAUGGUGCGCGCCUGUAGUUCCAACUACUUGGAAGGCUGAGGCAGGAGAAUCGCUUGAACCUGGGAGGCGCAGGAUGCAGUGAGCCAAGAUUGCGCCAUUACACUCCAGCCUAGGUGACAGAGCAAGACUCCAUCUCCAAAAAAAAAAAGAUAGUGAUAGUGGUAGGAGGGAUUAUAUGCCCUUAUGGUAUAGGGGAAGAGAGUGCUUGUAAUUAACCUUUGGUUAUAAAUAUAUAAGUAUAUAUUUACAUAAUUAUAAAUAUAUAAUCUAUAUUCUUAUUUGGUGUGUUCAGGUUACUGUAACAAAAUACCAUUGUGAAAGUUGUCAUAGUCUGACCGGGCGUGGUGGCUCACACCUGUAAUCCCAGCACUUUGGGAGGCCGAGGCGGGUAGAUCACUUGAGGUCAGGAGUUCAGGACCAGCGUGGCCAACAUGGUGAAACCCCAUCUGUACUAAAAAUACAAAAAUUAGCCUGGCAUGGUGGUAGGCGCCUGUAAUCCCAGAUACUAAGGAGGGUGAGUCAGGAGAAUUGCCUGAACCCAGGGAACGGAGGUUGCAGUGAGCUGGGAUCAUGCCACUGCACUCCAGCCUGGGUGACAAAGCAAGAGUCCAUCUCAAAAAAAAAAAAAGGAAGAAAGUUGUCUUAGUCAAAAUAGAGUCACUAAUGUUAAGAAAACCCUGACAAACAGAGCUGAGGAGGACCAUGAAGAGAGGGUUCUCACAUUUACAUGCUGGUAACAAGAAAAACUCUGCAACCUCACACAAAGGCCAUUGCAAUCAUUAACAAAAAAUGCUUCCGAAAGGACAUCUGCCCAGCAACUGCCCGUUCAACUUCAGACUGGUGUCACCCUUGUUGUUGAUCUUUGUAGCGAAGUAUAAUUAUUUCAAAACAAUUAUGUAAUUCUCAUUUUUUUCCUUCAGAAACCAUACACACAUAGUUUACUGUGGCAUGCGUAUUUCCAUUGCAGUGCUGUAUUUUCAAAUAAACAUCAUUUUCUUUUGGAAAGUCUCUCUCUGUUUGCUGUUUAG